rnacentral:rRNA from 1 species
UUUAUGGAGAGUUUGAUCCUGGCUCAGGAUGAACGCUGGCGGCGUGCCUAAUACAUGCAAGUCGAGCGAACAGAUAAGGAGCUUGCUCCUUUGACGUUAGCGGCGGACGGGUGAGUAACACGUGGGUAACCUACCUAUAAGACUGGAAUAACUCCGGGAAACCGGGGCUAAUGCCGGAUAACAUGUUGAACCGCAUGGUUCUACAGUGAAAGACGGUCUUGCUGUCACUUAUAGAUGGACCCGCGCCGUAUUAGCUAGUUGGU